UAUAUUUAGAUGAUAUGAGAAGAGGUCCUAAGUGUAGUGGGCAUGGGAACAUGAUGGAAGGCUAAGUCUCUCUGAAAGAGACUUUGGUUGAGUUUUCCCGAUGCUUCCCAUGACUAUUGUUCUUUGGUGCUCCUUCCUCUUCCUUUUUGGU
rfam:Triticum aestivum genome assembly, contig: Triticum_aestivum_CS42_TGACv1_scaffold_094013_2AL